UACGAAGGGGGCUAGCGUUGCUCGGAAUCACUGGGCGUAAAGCGCACGUAGGCGGACUUUUAAGUCGGAGGUGAAAUCCUGGAGCUCAACUCCAGAACUGCCUUUGAUACUGGGAAGCUUGAGUCCGGGAGAGGUGAGUGGAACUGCGAGUGUAGAGGUGAAAUUCGUAGAUAUUCGCAAGAACACCAGUGGCGAAGGCGGCUCACUGGCCCGGUACUGACGCUGAGGUGCGAAAGCGUGGGGAGCAAACAGG
rnacentral:rRNA from 1 species